rnacentral:tRNA from 1 species
GUCCGGCUAGCUCAGUCAGUAGAGCAUGAGACUCUUAAACUCAGGAUUGAGGAUUCGAGCCACACGUUGGGCG